GUGAGGAAUAUUGGACAAUGGGCGCAAGCCUGAUCCAGCCAUGCCGCGUGCAGGAAGACGCAUCUAUGGUGUGUAAACUGCUUUUGUACGGGAAGAAACACUCCCUCGUGAGGGAGCUUGACGGUACCGUAAGAAUAAGGAUCGGCUAACUCCGUGCCAGCAGCCGCGGUAAUACGGAGGAUCCAAGCGUUAUCCGGAAUCAUUGGGUUUAAAGGGUCUGUAGGCGGUUUAAUAAGUCAGUGGUGAAAGCCCAUCGCUCAACGAUGGAACGGCCAUUGAUACUGUUAGACUUGAAUUACAAGGAAGUAACUAGAAUAUGUAGUGUAGCGGUGAAAUGCUUAGAUAUUACAUGGAAUACCAAUUGCGAAGGCAGGUUACUACUUGUGGAUUGACGCUGAUGGACGAAAGCGUGGGGAGCGAACAGGAUUAGAAACCCCAGUAGUCC
rnacentral:rRNA from 1 species